CCCCGGGCCUGAGUGCAGGUAUCAGAGAUGGCUUGCACUUGGUUGUGUUGGGGGCGGUCUUUUGCUCCACCCCUUGGUGUCUUUAUAAAUACCCUGGGGCAGAGACACUCAGGGCCUAUUGAAAUAGGUUCCAGGCCCUCUUGAGGGUAUCCUGUAUUUUCCAUCUGUUCAUCUCCACAAUCUAAAUCCUUCUAUCUAUUAUUUUCUGCUGCUUGCACUCAAGAAACCUCUGGGAAUCUGUGGGGUUGGUGGAUAAAUGCCCUGCAGAAGCAAAGACUCUUUGCCACGUAAUCUAGAUGCUUAUUCAUUUCUCUGUGUUUUCUCUAAUGUGCAUAUGACAUUUACAUGUUAAUAACUGUUUUUAACAUACUCAAUGAUAGAAGGUUUGUGAUGUGCUGUGUUGUAACUUUCUAUCCAAGUUCAUUUGACUGUUACACUCCUUCCUUAACUUUCAUAAUGAUAACCAGGAACAACAACAGCUGUGAUCCCUAUGGAUGUAGGAGGGAGGUAAGGGAAGGUGGAGAGACUACUGUUCACCAUCCCUCUGUUGUUCUCAUGGCAAAGCCAAGUGGAAGAUACAAGUUGAGUCUGGCUGCAUCUCAUCUCUGCAAAGUAAUCCCUGUCUCCUCUUUUAGGUUACACUGAUACAGGGGUCCUUUGUCCUCAGCAUCUGAGCCCUUCUAGUGUGGGACCCCACAACUGACUCAGUUUCCCAGUUUGAAUCUGAAGUCUAUUCUGAGUCAAUAGAGUUCAAAACUCUCUGCUCCAAGGCUGUGAGGAAGUUCUGAUUAGCCCACAGAGUCUCCUUGAAGGGCUGUGAGAAAGUCCUGAUUAUCUCAUAAGAGGGAACAUACUGUUUUGCUAGAUGCAGGCUGCUGUUGCCUUCCAGUGGUAUAAAUUGAGAUAGAAAAUGAAACUUCCUGUUCCUAGAUGCAAGGCAGGAUAGAUAAUGGCUGAAUGCCUGUCCUGUGCAUUGUUCUAUCUCUGUCCUUCAAAACUGUAUGUAAGCUUGCAGUUAAGUAAACUUGGGGCUGUGCAGCAUUGGCCAGCAGACCUCUUUACUCUUUGCUGUCUUCUUCAUUGUCUCUUCAAUUCUCACACCUCUACCCAGCUCCCCAGCUGUCUGUCCUCAGGCUCCUACAGGUGGCGACCAAUGUGGAGCAGGUGUGGAGGAAUUUGUGAUAGACACCACAGAAGAAAAAGGAAUGUACUCAAGAAAAAUGGAAGCUGUGCAAAGACGACAGGUUCCAGAAAAAAAAGGAGGAUUGUUGGAUCACCUGGAAGUUGUUUUGGCUGUGGUCAGAUGGGACAUUAGAUUAGGCAAUGCCCCAAUAAGGGAAAGCUGAAAGAAACCUGGAUUAUGCCCUAGAUGUAAAAAAGGGAAACACUGGGUAAAUGAAUGUAAGUCAAUAAAAAGAUGUGCAUGGAAA